rnacentral:rRNA from 1 species
UGAGGAAUAUUGGUCAAUGGGCGCAAGCCUGAACCAGCCAUGCCGCGUGCAGGAUGACGGCUCUAUGAGUUGUAAACUGCUUUUAUACUAGGGUAAAGUCAUCUACGAGUAGAUGUUUGAAAGUAUAGUAUGAAUAAGGAUCGGCUAACUCCGUGCCAGCAGCCGCGGUAAUACGGAGGAUCCAAGCGUUGAUCCGGAUUUAUUGGGUUUAAAGGGUGCGUAGGCGGUUUUUUAAGUUAGUCGUUAAAUCGCGAGGCUCAACCUCGCAAUGGCGAUUGAUACUGGGAAACUAGAGAUUAUCUGCAGCGGGCGGAAUGUGUAGUGUAGCGGUGAAAUGCUUAGAUAUUACACAGAACACCAAUUGCGAAGGCAGCUCGCUAAGAUAUAUCUGACGCUGAUGCACGAAAGCGUGGGGAUCAAACA